UCCAGUUGGUUGCAUGUGUGUUGGCUCCCAUUCUAUUUUAUAUCUUUCACCUUGUUUGGGGUGAUCUUCCGGAUGAUCUAAGUUUCUACCUCUUCUGUUUGGUAGACUCAAUUCUGAAAUAAAAAAUAAUGAGUCAAUAAAUACACAUAAAUCAAUCAAUUAUAUAAUAUACACAUCGAUUAUAAUUAGUUAGUUACCAUCAUUAUCUCUGAGGUCUGAGUCGGAGUCGGAAUUAGAUUCACUCAUUUCUGUUGGUACUUGAGUAGUUGGAGUACUCGUACCUUGAGGAGUUGGAGUUGUAAUUUGAUUUGGAGUUGGAGUUGGAGUACUCGAACCUUGAGGAGUUGGAGUUGGAAUUUGAGGAGUUGAAGUACUUGGAGUCGAAGUUGCAGUCGGAACAUGAGUACUUGCAGAAGGUUCUUCAUGGUCGACAGAACUUCGUGUAAAUCAUUGUUUUUUACUAACCAAUGCUUUUUGGGUGCCAUUUAUAAUCUGUGAACACAACAAAAUAUUCAGCACUUAAAAUCAAUAAAAACAGUAAAAUAAAUAAAUUAAAAAAUUACUCACAAAUAAUAUAUAAGCAAUCCAUAAUUAGGCACUACAAAUCUCGAGGUGGCCUUUUCAAUACAACACUCCAAUCUAAUUUUUUAGGAUCAUCCACAUAAAAACAUUGUUGUGCUUGUGCUGCCAAGAUAAAUGGUUCGUCUUGGUGUUUUAAUCGUUUAGUGUUUAUAGAUAUAAUACCAAACGUAUCAACUUGUAUUCCAUUUGUAGAUUGGCCAUCAAACCAAUUACAAUGAAAGAGUGUUUCUAUAUGAUUUGGUCCAUAUUGUAGUUCAACAACAUAAUUUAAUCUUCCAUAAUAGUUUUGUCGAUUCACUAUUGGGUUUACAUCUCUAACACUUAAAUAACAUGAUGUCUCGGCCGACACUAAAAUCCCAUCAUUUUGAGUCUUUAGUUUCACCGAACUCGACGUACAAAGAAACUUAAUACCAUUCAUUCUAUAUCCUUUGAAUUUUUUCAUAUCUAUAUUUGGACCACGUGAAAGUCGCCAAAUGCUAAAUUUUACUUUAGUACAUGUAUCUAUAUGAUCUUUGAACCAUCUUGGAAAUUUUUCAUGAUGCUUUCUUUCUAUAUGUUUGGAAUUCAUUCCCGGAUAACUGCGACGAAUGACAUCCACAUGAAGUUCUCUAAAACUCGUUAUUUCAUCUGUAUUGAAUAACACAUAUCGAUGUGCCUGCUCAAAUAUCUUAUCAUCAAGAUUAGUGUGUGUAGCUUUACCAAUAUACCCAUUACAAUUACGAUCAGGUCUAUUGGAUUUUGUUUCAACAUUUUCUGACAAAUAACGAGAACAAAAUAUUAAAUAUUCUUCGGCAAUAUAUUGUUCAGCAAUACUCCCCUCAGGUUGGCUUUUAUUCCUAACAUAACCUUUUAAUGUUUUCAAGUACCUUUCAAUAGGAUACAUCCACCGAUAAUGCANNNNNNNNNNNNNNNNNNNNNNNNNNNNNNNNNNNNNNNNNNNNNNNNNNNNNNNNNNNNNNNNNNNNNNNNNNNNNNNNNNNNNNNNNNNNNNNNNNNNCUAAUGGUCUUACGAUUAUAAUAUUUGCCAUUGUGACACUUUGAACAAGGACAUGGUAGUUUUAAUCCAGGCUCCAUCUUGUGGUUUGAAUAGAUUUCAGCAAAAUCUAAAAAACUUUUCAAUCCACUUUGAAAUUUCAUCGAGGUUGAACUUUCAAACAACCAUGAUUUGUCAAGCCCUUCUAUUUGAGCAGUCAUUUUAGUUUAUCUCCUAACAUACAAAUAAAAAGAAACCUCUUAAAAAUCAAUAUUUAAAUGAAAAAUGUAUUAAAAUAAGUAUUCAAAAAUCAUUUCUCUGGAAUUUGGGUAAUUUUUGUGACUUGCACACUUCAUAGAACUAAUGAAAGGAUUAACAUCUGAAAAUCUUAAUUUCCUAAUGCCUCGUACGGCAGUCUGAUUAAAAAUGGCAUUUCAAUUACAUGGACUUAAUAAAAUUUUGUCUUAACAGUUCUCAUUUAGAUUUUGGACCCAUAGCUAGCCAAAAUUGAUGUUAAUGUGCAAAAUUGAUAGAUGACCAUCAUGUUUCUAAGGAUGUAGAGAAGAUGGAAUAAUCUAACUGCUGUCUGAAUCAUGUUAUUCAAAAUUGAUUAGACAAUCUACGCAUUGUUCAGAUAAUAGUUUAUUUUGCAGAAUAAUGGAAAUUUUUUUAACAAUCAUGAAGUUUAUUCUUACAAUAAUGAGUGAAAAAUCAGUGGAAGAGUAUUCUUUAUGCCAAAUAAGCACACAACAAAACUAUUGUAUUAUUUUCUUUUAUAAAGAUAUUAUAAUUUUGCAAUAGUCCAAAUUUAUGCUAAUGCUGUAUUAAUUAUUAAAAUUCAAAAUUCAGAACAUUUAAAAAAUGAUGACACGAACUCCAUGUAAACUGGGCAAUUCCCUUCAUUUUAAUAAUGAAAUUUUUUAUUUGCUUUCAAAAAAUAGAUGAUGGCACGGCACAAAACUCAAGUUGCACCAUUUAUAAAUACUAUUUAGUUAUAAGUUAUAACUGACAUACAAUGAUCUCAGAUGCUUCAGUUUUCCAAUUUGUGGAGGAAUUGGUCCUGUCAAUUUAUUACUGUGAAGAUCCCUGACAUACGGAAAAAAUAGAAAAAAUAAAUUAGAUAUUUACAAUCAAAUCUAUUAUCACUCAAUGAUGUGUCAAAUAAAUUUCUAAUAUUUGUGUUGAAUUUUCAAAAAUAUUUAAAUUUGAAGAUAAAGCAUGUAAUUUAAAAUUUCAACAUGGACGAUCAAACUCUUAAAGAGGCAUUUUCUGACUUUGGAGAAGUGACAGAGGGUAGGUGAAGUGAAUUUGUAUCUUUUAUAGCU
rnacentral:lncRNA from 1 species